rnacentral:rRNA from 1 species
CCUACGGGGGGCAGCAGUCGAGAAUCAUUCACAAUGGGGGAAACCCUGAUGGUGCGACGCCGCGUGGGGGAAUGAAGGUCUUCGGAUUGUAAACCCCUGUCAUGUGGGAGCAAAUUAAAAAGAUAGUACCACAAGAGGAAGAGACGGCUAACUCUGUGCCAGCAGCCGCGGUAAUACAGAGGUCGCAAGCGUUGUUAGGAAUCACUGGGCGUAAAGCGUGCGUAGGCUGUUUCGUAAGUCGUGUGUGAAAGGCGCGGGCUCAACCCGCGGACGGCACAUGAUACUGCGAGACUAGAGUAAUGGAGGGGGAACCGGAAUUCUCGGUGUAGCAGUGAAAUGCGUAGAUAUCGAGAGGAACACUCGUGGCGAAGGCGGGUUACUGGACAUUAACUGACGCUGAGGCACGAAGGCCAGGGGAGCGAAAGGGAUUAGAUACCCCAGUAGUC